UACGGAGGGGGCUAGCGUUGUUCGGAAUUACUGGGCGUAAAGCGCGCGUAGGCGGCUUUGCAAGUUAGAGGUGAAAGCCCGGGGCUCAACCCCGGAACUGCCUUUAAGACUGCAUCGCUUGAAUCCAGGAGAGGUGAGUGGAAUUCCGAGUGUAGAGGUGAAAUUCGUAGAUAUUCGGAAGAACACCAGUGGCGAAGGCGGCUCACUGGCCUGGUAUUGACGCUGAGGUGCGAAAGCGUGGGGAGCAAACAGG
rnacentral:rRNA from 1 species